GGGGUUGUAGCUCAGUGGUAGAGCACUUACCUCGUAAGUAUGAGGCGCUGGGUUGGAUCCUCAGCACCA
rnacentral:tRNA from 1 species